UAAGAUCACCCAGUGUGUGUCCAUCUGGCUGGCCCACCAACCUGCCUUACUAUGGAGGAAGGAGAGAAAGCAGGAGCAUGCGGGGGAAGCUGUAAGGCAGGUUGGGUGAGGUGGGCGGUGUCCCUGGGUUGUCUGGAGACAGAGUGGGCGGCUGGACUGCAGCAGCUGGCUGAACGGGCCGGGCAGCGCCCACUGAUGAUGUCAGCAGUGUGACCAGGCUGAAGGAGGUGGGAGUUGCCAGGAGGGGAGGAGCCAGGAUCGAGGGAGGGAAACGAGUAGGGGAAAGGAAGGGAAAGGAAUUAUCUGGGGUGUUAAUAAAGGCUAUGGGGCAGAAAUGGAAAGGGAGGGCUGCAGUGUUCAGCUUGCAAAGCAGCCUUAAAUGAAGCCAGCCCAUGAUGAGGGGCAGAGGUGGUGAAGAGUGGGCUAUAGUCUCCCGGUGAGGGGUCAGCCCCUGACAAAAAUUGUCAAAGGAGGAGGACGUUGGUGCUGCUAACCCCUGACCCCUUUCCUCUGAGGCUUGACUGGGCAUUGCAGCUGACCCCAGUCAAGGGUACAGGAUACAGUCUUGAAUUGAUGGGCACCUCAUACCAUCUGUCACCAAAGGGUGCUUUUCAGCACUAGUGUGAGAUUUUCCGACUUGUCUGAAGAUUUAUUUUAUUAAAUUCAUCCACUCCUGACUCAUUUGACAGUCUGCAAACCUAAUCAAUAUAACUACAAACAGGUAAUUGCUCAUUAGAAAGCCCUCAUCCACAUUCAGCUUCAGUUUAUCAUUUGACUUUUGUACAUGUCAGAAAAGUACACUUACCUUUCUGAAGUACCAUUUGUUCCCGACAAGGUUAAUACUAAUGUAAUUCCCUUUUAUACUGUUAUCUGCAUGACAUGUUCUUCAAAAACGCAGAAUUGGACUUAUCUCUGGGUAGAUCCAGUCAAAACACUGGUUUUUUGUUAGAACUUUAACCAUUUUGAAUAUAUGAGUAGUAGUUAGUAAUAUUACUUUUGUUUUUGCAAUAAAAAUGUGACAUUUUCUUAAGAGUGAUUAAAAUCAUGGUGUUAGCCAGUCGUAUUUCGGGUAAGGGAAGGUUAAUCAUGAGACCCACCCAACACAAUGAAGUGACUACAAAUAGCUGUUAUUUGUAACAAGCUAAUUUACAGUUUACAGUAAUUAAAAAAAAGAUAUAGUUUAAUACCCCAAAUUGAGAUCUAACAUUGAAAUUGUAACUGGGUGACUAUCUCAUUGCACCAACCAGGAAAUCACUGCUAGUUCCAAAGAAAUCUGAAAUCUAAUAUUCAGAUGUUUACUCCUGAAAUUCCAGUAUUUUGAAAUUCUAUAAAGUUUUUUUAAACUAAAAUUUGUAUGUGAUAAAGAUCUGCACAUACAGUUCAUUCAUACAAAAGUUCCAUGUAGACAUCAUAGUACAUGCAUGGCUCUAGUUUGGGGCUAGUGUCUACCAAAGACUUUGAGAUGAUCUGGAUGUGUGGAAGAAAUUCCUAGUAUUUACAACAACCGUGUUUUCAAUCCUUCCAGCUUCAUGUCCAUUUCCUCUGCUCCUUUUGACCAUAAUCCAUUAUCUCAUUCUCUGUUGUCCCAUCAAGCACUAGUAUUUUGCAGUUAAGAUAGAAAAGUGCUCAUCUAGAGGAUUUUCAUUGACUUGAUUGACCUGUUAUCAGAUUCAGUUCAUGGUGAACAAAGUUAUGAGCACAGCCUAUUAAUGCCCGUAGAUUGAAUUUGAUAAUCUGAAUUAUGGAAUUCUAUCAGUGUUUCUUUGUAGCACCUGAAUGACGCCCCUCCCCCCGCCAUUUCUGCUUGCCUCUGGGGUAAUCAGAAAGGGCCUUUUGCAUGUCCCACCAUGAAAUUCCUGCCAUGCACCUAGCCUAUGGAAUUCACUCUCUUGUGAGAACAAGCAAGCUCUAUUUGUUCCAGUAUUUCAUUUUCUGCUGAAGAUGUUUCUCUUUCAAAUGGGCUGGAAAUUUAAGCCAAAAUCUCUCUUCUGAAGUAUUUUUCUUUGUUUUCAUUGCUGUACUUUGUCGUGGUUUGUACUUAUGAGAUUGUAUUUGAUUUUGAUUUUUUAUUUUAUUUUUAUUGUUGUCAUUUUGUAGUUUGUUAGCCACUUUGGGCAUCCUGUAACUGGGAUGAAGAAAUGCAAGAGAAGAAUUUAAAAUAAAUAAAUACUACUCCUAAUCUGUCUAUGGAUAUAAUGAAGGAAGUUUGACUGGAGAAUGUGAGCUACAAUUUCCAUGAUUUCUGAUAAUCGUGGAUAUGGCCUACAUGCUCACAUCAGCAUCGUGGGCCUAAUGGACAUCUUAUCACAUGAUCUCCCUGCUGCCACACACUGCCAUAUAAGUUUGGAAGAUGGAAUGGGGGGCAGUGGGGGUUUCGUGGUGGAGAUUAGGCUCGGGGAGACAUCUAGACUCUGCUAUGUUCCUGGUGACAGUGCUGGGAGUACAAUGGGACUUGUAUUUAAAUGGGCUUAAAGUAGAAAGUCUAUCUAGAUCUAUUUCAAUCAGGUGUCAAGCCCAGGUUUGGAAUAGAAACUGCUUUGGUCGCCUUGUGGGUUGACCUGUGCAAAGAGAGAGAGAGACAGGGGGAGUGAAACCCUGUUAAUUCUCUUGGAUCUCUCAGCAGCUUUUAAUACCAUUGACCAGUAUCUUUUGGAGAGGCUGGCCAAGAUGGGUGUGGGAGUGACUGAUUGGAGGUGGUUCCACUCCUAACUCAAGGCCCAUUUCCAAAAGGUGGUGCUGAGGGAUUACUGCUCAACUCUUUGGCAGUUAUGCUUUGGGGUUCCACAGGGUUCCAUUCCUAUGCUGUUAACAUAGGGAGAGCUGAUCUUGUGGUAGCAAGCAUGAGUUGUCCCCAUAGCUAAGCAGGGUCUGCCUUGGUUGCAUAUGAAUGGGAGACUUGAUGUGUGAGCACUGCAAGAUAUUCCCCUCAGGGGAUGCUGCUGCUCUGGGAAGAGCAGAAGGUUUCAAGUUCCCUCCCUGACUUCUCCAAGAAAGGGCUGAGAGAGAUUCCCGCCUGCUACCUUGGAGAAGCCGCUGCCAGUCUGUGAAGACAAUAUUGAGCUAGAUAGACCAAUGAUCUGACACAGUAUAUGGCAGCUUCCUAUGUUCAUAUGUUCCUAUCUACAUGAAACCACUGGGAGAAGUCAUCCGGAGAUUUGGCCUGAGGUGUCAUCAGUAUGAGGAUGACACUCUGUCAUCUCUCUCUUUUUCAUCAGGUGCAGGUGAGGCAAUGACUGUCCUGAAUCAGUGCCUGGAUGCAGUAAUGGACUGGAUGAGGGGGAACAAGCUGAGACUCAAUCCAGACAAGACAGAAGUACUGUUGGCCGGUGGUGUUGGCCAGUAAAUUAUAUUCAGCCUUUUCUAGAUGGGGUUGCACUCAGUUAAAAUACCUUUUUGUUCACUCAGGUCAUUUAAACUGUGAUUUUCAAAUUUGUUUUUUAACUGAUUUUUAAAAGAGUUUUAAAAUUGCUUUGUAUUAUAUUUUG